rnacentral:rRNA from 1 species
UCUUAGUUGCCAGCGAUUCGGUCGGGGACUCUAGAGAUACUGCCCCGGUUAACGGGGAGGAGGGUGGGGAUGACGUCAAGUCCUCAUGGCCCUUAUGCCCAGGGCUACACACGUGCUACAAUGGGCGGUACAAAGGGUAGCGAUGCCGCGAGGUGAAGCCAAUCCCAAAAAGCCGUCCACAGUUCGGAUUGGAGUCUGCAACUCGACUCCAUGAAGCCGGAAUCGCUAGUAAUCGUGGAUCAGCAUGCCACGGUGAAUACGUUCCCGGGCCUU